UACGGAGGGGGCGAGCGUUAUUCGGAAUUAUUGGGCGUAAAGGGCGCGUAGGCGGCCCGGUAAGUCAAAGGUGAAAUCCCUCGGCUCAACUGAGGAACUGCCUUUGAAACUGUCGGGCUUGAGGCCGGGAGGGGGUAGCGGAAUUCCCAGUGUAGCGGUGAAAUGCGCAGAUAUCAGGAGGAACACCGGUGGCGAAGGCGGGUCUCUGGGCCGAUAUUGACGCUGAGGAGCGAAAGCGUGGGGAGCGAACAGG
rnacentral:rRNA from 1 species